rnacentral:rRNA from 1 species
AAAUUGAAGAGUUUGAUCAUGGCUCAGAUUGAACGCUGGCGGCAGGCCUAACACAUGCAAGUCGAACGGUAACAGGAAGCAGCUUGCUGCUUYGCUGACGAGUGGCGGACGGGUGAGUAAUGUCUGGGAAACUGCCUGAUGGAGGGGGAUAACUACUGGAAACGGUGGCUAAUACCGCAUAACGUCGCAAGACCAAAGAGGGGGACCUUCGGGCCUCUUGCCAUCAGAUGUGCCCAGAUGGGAUUAGCUWGUUGGUGAGGUAACGGCUCACCAAGGCGACGAUCCCUAGCUGGUCUGAGAGGAUGACCAGCCACACUGGAACUGAGACACGGUCCAGACUCCUACGGGAGGCAGCAGUGGGGAAUAUUGCACAAUGGGCGCAAGCCUGAUGCAGCCAUGCCGCGUGUAUGAAGAAGGCCUUCGGGUUGUAAAGUACUUUCAGCGGGGAGGAAGGUGUUGUGGUUAAUAACCGCAGCAAUUGACG